CCUACGGGUCGCAGCAGUGGGGAAUAUUGCACAAUGGGCGCAAGCCUGAUGCAGCCAUGCCGCGUGUACGAAGAAGGCCUUCGGGUUGUAAAGUACUUUCAGCGGGGAGGAAGGCGGUGAGGUUAAUAACCUCACCGAUUGACGUUACCCGCAGAAGAAGCACCGGCUAACUCCGUGCCAGCAGCCGCGGUAAUACGGAGGGUGCAAGCGUUAAUCGGAAUUACUGGGCGUAAAGCGCACGCAGGCGGUCUGUCAAGUCGGAUGUGAAAUCCCCGGGCUCAACCUGGGAACUGCAUUCGAAACUGGCGGGCUAGAGUCUUGUAGAGGGGGGUAGAAUUCCAGGUGUAGCGGUGAAAUGCGUAGAGAUCUGGAGGAAUACCGGUGGCGAAGGCGGCCCCCUGGACAAAGACUGACGCUCAGGUGCGAAAGCGUGGGGAGCAAACAGGAUUAGAUACCCGAGUAGUC
rnacentral:rRNA from 1 species